rnacentral:rRNA from 1 species
GCCCUUGAGUUUGAUCCUGGCUCAGGAUGAACGCUGGCGGCGUGCCUAACACAUGCAAGUCGAACGAAGCACUUUCUUUAGAUUCUUCGGAUGAAGAAGACUGUGACUGAGUGGCGGACGGGUGAGUAACGCGUGGGCAACCUGCCCUGUACAGGGGGAUAACAGUUAGAAAUGACUGCUAAUACCGCAUAAGCGCACGAGGACGCAUGUUCUUGUGUGAAAAACUCCGGUGGUACAGGAUGGGCCCGCGUCUGAUUAGGUAGUUGGUGGGGCAGCGGCCUACCAAGCCGACGAUCAGUAGCCGACCUGAGAGGGUGACCGGCCACAUUGGGACUGAGACACGGCCCAAACUCCUACGGGAGGCAGCAGUGGGGAAUAUUGCACAAUGGGGGAAACCCUGAUGCAGCGACGCCGCGUGAAGGAAGAAGUAUUUCGGUAUGUAAACUUCUAUCAGCAGGGAAGAAGAUGACGGUACCUGACUAAGAAGCACCGGCUAAAUACGUGCCAGCAGCCGCGGUAAUACGUAUGGUGCAAGCGUUAUCCGGAUUUACUGGGUGUAAAGGGAAGGGC